ACUAUGAUGCCGCGCGAAGGUGCUCCGAUUCGUGGAAUCGGAGUAAACGGGAAUCCCGUGGGCCCCCGCGAUGGGGGAGCCGGGAGCGGUCACGCCACUGUGAAGGGGUGCCGGACCACAAAGCCACUGUCCUCCGUAGCGCGCCGGAGUCCGCGAAGGAGGAUGGGAAGGCGGCGAGGCGAUCCCCCUGAGCCAGGAAACCGGCCUUCGCGAUGGUAAUAGU
rnacentral:ncRNA from 2 species